UCAAUCACACAGUUGCUUUGCUUCGUCCCUCUUCUCUAGUACUCGUAUCUGAUUCUCUCUCUCUCUCCCCCACCCCCUCCUCCUCCCGUUUCUUCUUCUCCUCCUUCUUCGGCUCUGUUAACUUCGGCUUUCAGUCGCGCCGGCAGCUUGGCUUCAAUGCUUCGUCGAGCUCUCUGAUUCUGGCCCCUUCUUCCUCUUCUUAUCGUGCGGCAGUGAGCUCUCUCGCCGGCGGGCGAUCGCUUCUCCUUUGCACAUGAUAAACAGGACUGCGUUGAAAUGAUUCCGUGGGGCGGCCUUAGCUGCUGCUUAAGCGCCGCAGCUCUCUACGUCCUCGGCAGGAGCAGCGGAAGGGAUGCGGAGGCAUUGAAAUCGGUUCUUCGAGUCAACCAAUUGAAGGAAUUGGCACAAUUACUGGAUACUGAAUGUAAAGUGUUACCGCUGAUUGUUACUCUUACCGGGAGAGUUGGUUCUGACACACCAAUUAACUGCGAAUAUAGUGGUCUACGAGGUGUGAUAGUGGAGGCAACGGCAGAACAACAUUUCUUGAAACACAAUGAUGCUGGUUCUUGGAUACAAGAUUCGGCUUUGAUGUUAUCUAUGAGUAAGGAGGUUCCUUGGUACCUGGAUGAUGGGACAGGUCAUGUCCAUGUGUUAGGGGCUCGAGCGGCCUCUGGUUUUGAACUAACUGUUGCUAGUGAAGUAUUUGAAGAGUCUGGACGAUCCCUUGUCCGUGGAACGUUGGAUUAUCUUCAAGGUCUCAAGAUGCUUGGAAUCAAGAGGAUUGAACGGGUGCUUCCAGUUGGUUCUUCCCUGACGGUUGUUGGUGAGGCUGUCAAAGAUGAUGUUGGGACAGUUCGUGUUCAGCGACCACAUAAAGGGCCAUUUUAUGUCUCUCCUAAAACUAUCGAUCAGCUGAUUGUGAACCUUGGAAAAUGGGCAAGGUGGUAUCGGUAUGCUUCCAUGGGUAUGACAGUCUUAGGAGUUUGCAUGAUUGUGAAAAGAGGAGUUCAAUAUGUCAUGGAAAGAAGACGACGCUGGGAGUUGCAGCGAAGUUUAUGUGCAAAGAGGUGCUUAAUUCUUCUCUUCAUGCCAGGGUGCUCGAGGCUACUGCUAAAAAGUCGGGGCAAAAUAGUGAAGAUGAAAAGGCUGAGAAAGGAUCGGACUCUUCAAAGAGAGAUCGGCUAAUGCCAGACCUUUGCGUGAUAUGCCUAGAGCAGGAGUAUAAUGCUGUCUUUGUCCCAUGUGGGCACAUGUGCUGCUGCAUGGCGUGCUCCUCCCACCUGACAAACUGUCCUCUCUGCCGGAAGCGGAUCGAGCAGGCUGUGAAGACUUUCCGCCACUGAGACUUGUUUCCUCUGGAUUCGAGGUCAUAGAUUCUCCUAACCGAAAUAGAAUUCUCAUGUCAACUUUGAUUGUGCCUUGAAUGGCCCGAACUGAUUGGAUGUCUAAAGCUCAAUUUGGUGGUCUUGUCUAACUGUAAAUUCGGAUGGCGAGAAAUAGUUUAAGAAAAGCCUUUGUAAAUUCGAAUGACUUCGCUGCAAACUCUUCAAAUUCUUCUCUGUUUCACUGGAUAUUGUCUUGGGUUAUGUAUUCCUUCUUUGGCGCUCAA